GUUUCCUAUUAUUAUGACCCGACUUUAUUUUCUCUUUUCCAAAACCCUAGAGAGCCUCCAUCUCCAUUCCAGCAACUGAUUAUUUGUUACAUCCAAUCUAUUACAAUCUCAAACCCUAAAUCUCAGUCGCUUAUGACUUUGAAGAUUUCAAGCUGGGCGAUUUCAUAUAUUGAUUUCAUAUGGAUCGUGACCAUUUCUUUUGGAUCGUCGGACGACGGCUCGGGCGAUUCCUGAGGCUGAAGACAACAACGGCAAGAGGCACUCUGGCGACGCGAUUAGGGUUUCGCUGUGAACCCUAACAACAGUGGCAGCGACGCAUUUUAUUCUUGAAGAUUUGAUUUUUUCCAAUGUGCAGUCCAAGUUAAGUUUGUGAAAAUUUAGUCAUAAAAUUAAGCAUCAAUUUUGUUAUUAGAGAAGGUAUGUAUUUCGUCUUCAAUUUCGUUUGUAGUCUCUGAAGUUGUAUUGGUGUAAAUAUAUGUAAAUUAUAACUUUACAUAUGAUUUUCACUAUGUGUGAAUUAACAUCAAAAUCUUUGUCUGCCAAUCUCAUACUGCUGUUCUACACAGAACUUAGUCGUCAACAACAUUUCGUUUACCAGGUUAUGCCCCGGCGAUGUCUUAAUUAUUACACAUCCUAUUUUGGUUAUAUUCUUGCCGGCAUACUUCAUAUAUCAGGUACAGAGGAAGUGUCGAACUGAACGAUUGAGAAAACUAAGCCGAGUCUGGUAAAGCGGAUUGCGUAUGCUCAUCGAGUUGUCGCUGAAUCAGACAAAGAUAUUAUUCAAUAUGAGUUGCUUGGUGCUAAGAUACGUGGCACUGGUUUUGCAAGAGCUGAG